UACGUAGGGGGCAAGCGUUGUCCGGAUUUAUUGGGCGUAAAGAGCUCGUAGGCGGUUUGGUAAGUCUGGUUGUGAAAAUCUCCACGCUCAACGUGGAGGGGCCACCCGAUACUGCCAUGACUGGAGUCCGGUAGAAGGAGUGUGGGAAUUCCCGGGUGUAGCGGUGAAAUGACGCAGAUAAUCGGGAGGAACACCCGUAGCGAAGGCGGCACU
rnacentral:rRNA from 1 species